CUCUCUCGCGCAGUUUACCCCACGUUAAAAAUAUUGAACAACGACGCCAAACGUGUUAAACGUCGUUAUGAUAAACACCAUCAUUUUACUUCGUAUGUCAGAACAAAACCAUAUAAGCGAAUUUACGUGGGGACAUUUCUGUUUCAGAAAUUUUCAAAUACAACGCUAAACCCGUGUUUACAAACGAACAGUAGCUAGGAAACCCUGAAAUCUGGAGGAUUCAUUACUAAACCAGGGUUAAGAAGAUUAUUCAUCUGGAUAAAAGCAUCUUAUCUGACUGGUGCAGUUGAUAAACGUGGCCAUCAUGAUUUUUGUGUGGCUCAGAAAUGACACACUUCACCAUGAAUCAGUCUUAUUCAACUGUUGUGUGAGCAGUUGCUACAGAAAUGCCUGCGGACCUCUUCAUAUCCUCAUGCUUGAUCCGUAACCUCUUACUGAGGACUGUGAGAACAGAGUUUGUCAUGAUGCAAAAGAGCUGCUGUUGGCCACCCAGCGAAUGUGAUUGAACCGAGACAAGUAAUUUGCCCAGAAUCAAAGGCUUACAGUGGAUUCGGAUCAUUGACCUGUCAAUGGAUGACAAAUUAUUCUUUUGGUUUGGAUGACGUGCUUUUAAUUAAUCAUUUGUCAUUAAAGCUGUAUUUAACACAA